rnacentral:rRNA from 1 species
GAUGAACGCUGGCGGCGUGCCUAAUACAUGCAAGUCGAGCGAACAGACGAGGAGCUUGCUCCUUCGACGUUAGCGGCGGACGGGUGAGUAACACGUAGGUAACCUACCUAUAAGACUGGGAUAACUUCGGGAAACCGGAGCUAAGACCGGAUAAUAUUUCGAACCGCAUGGUUCGAUAGUGAAAGAUGGCUUUGCUAUCACUUAUAGAUGGACCUGCGCCGUAUUAGCUAGUUGGUAAGGUAACGGCUUACCAAGGCAACGAUACGUAGCCGACCUGAGAGGGUGAUACGCCACACUGGAACUGAGACACGGUCCAGACUCCUACGGGAGGCAGCAGUAGGGAAUCUUCCGCAAUGGGCGAAAGCCUGACGGAGCAACGCCGCGUGAGUGAUGAAGGUCUUCGGAUCGUAAAACUCUGUUAUUAGGGAAGAACAAACGUGUAAGUAACUGUGCACGUCUUGACGGUACCUAAUCAGAAAGCCACGGCUAACUACGUG